UACGUAGGGUGCAAGCGUUAAUCGGAAUUACUGGGCGUAAAGCGUGCGCAGGCGGUUAUGUAAGACAGGUGUGAAAUCCCCGGGCUUAACCUGGGAACUGCAUUUGUGACUGCAUAGCUAGAGUACGGUAGAGGGGGGUGGAAUUCCACGUGUAGCAGUGGAAUGCGUAGAGAUGUGGAGGAACACCGAUGGCGAAGGCAGCCCCCUGGGCCAAUACUGACGCUGAGAAGCGAAAGCAUGGGGAGCGAACAGG
rnacentral:rRNA from 1 species